UAGGGAAUCUUCGGCAAUGGACGAAAGUCUGACCGAGCAACGCCGCGUGAGUGAAGAAGGUUUUCGGAUCGUAAAACUCUGUUGUUAGAGAAGAACAAGGACGUUAGUAACUGAACGUCCCCUGACGGUAUCUAACCAGAAAGCCACGGCUAACUACGUGCCAGCAGCGGCGGUAAUACGUAGGUGGCAAGCGUUGUCCGGAUUUAUUGGGCGUAAAGCGAGCGCAGGCGGUUUCUUAAGUCUGAUGUGAAAGCCCCCGGCUCAACCGGGGAGGGUCAUUGGAAACUGGGAGACUUGAGUGCAGAAGAGGAGAGUGGAAUUCCAUGUGUAGCGGUGAAAUGCGUAGAUAUAUGGAGGAACACCAGUGGCGAAGGCGGCUCUCUGGUCUGUAACUGACGCUGAGGCUCGAAAGCGUGGGGAGCAAACAGG
rnacentral:rRNA from 1 species